ACGGGAGGCAGCAGUGGGGAAUAUUGGGCAAUGGGCGAAAGCCUGACCCAGCGACGCCGCGUGAGCGACGAAGGUCUUCGGAUUGUAAAGCUCUGUUGACAGGGACGAAGAAGUGACGGUACCUGUCGAGGAAGCCACGGCUAACUACGUGCCAGCAGCCGCGGUAAUACGUAGGUGGCAAGCGUUAUCCGGAUUUACUGGGUGUAAAGGGUGUGUAGGCGGGGGAGCAAGUCAGAUGUGAAAGCACGAGGCUCAACUUCGUGUCUGCAUUUGAAACUGACGUUCUUGAGUGUUGGAGAGGCUAACGGAACUCCUAGUGUAGCGGUGAAAUGCGUAGAUAUUAGGAAGAACACCAGUGGCGAAGGCGGUUAGCUGGACAAUAACUGACGCUGAGGCGCGAAAGCGUGGGUAGCAAACAGGAUUAGAUACCCUGGUA
rnacentral:rRNA from 1 species